rnacentral:rRNA from 1 species
CAAGUCGAACGAGAAAGCCGGAGCAAUCUGGUGAGUAAAGUGGCGUACGGGUGAGUAACACGUGGAUGAUCUACCUUCUGGUGUGGAAUAACCGAGGGAAACCUUGGCUAAUACCGCAUAAGCUCGAGAGAGGAAAGCAGCAAUGCGCCGGAAGAGGAGUCCGCGGCCGAUUAGCUAGUUGGUAGGGUAAAAGCCUACCAAGGCAAAGAUCGGUAGCCGGCCUGAGAGGGCACACGGCCACACUGGCACUGAAACACGGGCCAGACUCCUACGGGAGGCAGCAGUGGGGAAUCUUGCACAAUGGGGGCAACCCUGAUGCAGCGACGCCGCGUGAGCGAUGAAGCCCUUCGGGGUGUAAAGCUCUUUCGUCAGGGAAGAUUAUGACGGUACCUGGAGAAGCAGCUGCGGCUAACUACGUGCCAGCAGCCGCGGUAAUACGUAGGCAGCGAGCGUUGUUCGGAGUUACUGGGCGUAAAGGGUGUGUAGGCGGUUGUUUAAGUUUGGUGUGAAAUCUCCCGGCUCAACUGGGAGGGUGCGCCGAAUACUGAAUGACUUCGAGUGCGGGAGAGGAAAGUGGAAUUCCUGGUGUAGCGGUGAAAUGCGUAGAUAUCAGGAGGAACACCGGUGGUGUAGACGGCUUUCUGGACCGUAACUGACGCUGAGACACGAAAGCGUGGGUAGCAAACAGGAUUAGAUACCCUGGUAGUCCACGCCCUAAACGAUGCAUAUUUGGUGUGGGCAGUUCAUUCUGUCCGUGCCGGAGCUAACGCGUUAAAUAUGCCGCCUGGGGAGUACAGUCGCAAGGCUGAAACUCAAAGGAAUUGACGGGGGCCCGCACAAGCGGUGGAGCAUGUGGUUCAAUUCGACGCAACGCGAAGAACCUUACCUGGGCUCGAACGGCUGGUCAACGCCGGUGGAAACAUCGGUA